GACGAGCGCUGGCGGCGUGCCUAAUACAUGCAAGUUGAGCGCUGAAGGUUGGUACUUGUUCCAACUGGAUGAGCAGCGAACGGGUGAGUAACGCGUGGGGAAUCUGCCUUUGAGCGGGGGACAACAUUUGGAAACGAAUGCUAAUACCGCAUAAAAACUUUAAACACAAGUUUUAAGUUUGAAAGAUGCAAUUGCAUCACUCAAAGAUGAUCCCGCGUUGUAUUAGCUAGUUGGUGAGGUAAAGGCUCACCAAGGCGAUGAUACAUAGCCGACCUGAGAGGGGGAUCGGCCACAGUGGGAAUGAGACACGGCCCAAACUCCUAAGGGAGGCAGCAGGAGGGAAUCUUCGGCAAUGGACGAAAGUCUGACCGAGCAACGCCGCGGGAGGGAAGAAGGGUGUCGGAUCGUAAAAAUCUGUUGGUAGAGAAGAAAGUUGGUGAGAGUGGAAAGCGCAUCAAGUGACGGUAACUACCCAGAAAGGGACGGCUAACUACGUG
rnacentral:rRNA from 1 species